rnacentral:rRNA from 1 species
CCCAGUUCGGAUUGUAGUCUGCAACCCGACUACAUGAAGCCGGAAUCGCUAGUAAUCGCGGAUCAGAAUGCCGCGGUGAAUACGUUCCCGGGUCUUGUACACACCGCCCGUCACACCAUGGGAGCCGGUAAUGCCCGAAGUCUGUGGCCCAACCGAAAGGAAGGAGCAGCCGAAGGCAGGCCCGGUGACUGGGGUGAAGUCGUAACAAGGUACC